UACGUAGGGUGCAAGCGUUGUCCGGAAUUAUUGGGCGUAAAGAGCUCGUAGGCGGUCUGUCGCGUCGGAUGUGAAAAUCCAGGGCUCAACCCUGGACCUGCAUUCGAUACGGGCAGACUAGAGUUCGGUAGGGGAGACUGGAAUUCCUGGUGUAGCGGUGAAAUGCGCAGAUAUCAGGAGGAACACCAAUGGCGAAGGCAGCUCGCUGGGCCGAUACUGACGCUGAGGAGCGAAAGCGUGGGGAGCGAACAGG
rnacentral:rRNA from 1 species